rnacentral:lncRNA from 1 species
GUAUGUCCUCAGGCAGUCGACGCGGCACAGCCACCGUGAAACAUAAUAGGACCUUGUCUUUCUAUGGGGCCUUUCAUUCUGAAAACCAGGGCAGUUUUAGCAGCCUUGGGAGGCCCCCCCAUAUUCCCUUUUCAGACGGGUAAACUGAGGGACUGUCGAGGAAGGGAACCAGCCCAGGGCUCUGGUCGGGUUAUCCAUCAGCGCUACUGGCCUAGAACUGGAUUCUGAAGAAAUGUCCUUUGGAUUUGCCGUACCUUCUUGGAGGUGGUCAGAAGGGGGCUCAGCCAGCCUGCCCAGCUUAAGGAGCAGCGGGAGAUUCCGAUGCAGCGGGCCUGGGGCCGGGCCCACAACUCUGCCUUUGCAACCAGCAGCAAGCUGGUGCCGUUGCUGCCGGUCCUCAGCCCACACUCGGAGCAGAGAGUCACCCAACCGCCACCUGUGAAAUGCCAUCGUGUCAUUGCCACCACCAUCCCUGGGGUGCCGUUUGAAGAACAAAUUCUCUUGUUUUGUAUCAGGGCGCUUUGUAAGCUGUGAAGUCCUGUACAAUUAUGUAUUUCUGUAAAAAGAUGACCAAGAAUAUGAUUGAGCGGCGGUAUUUGAAGCCAAAGGACUUGGUUUAGGACCAAGUUCUAGCUCCUCUCACCAGCUAAGGAUGUCUUAGGUGAACACCUCCUUUCUCGGAGCCUGUAAAGUGGGGACGAUGGUGCUACCUCACGGGCUAGCUGUGAAGAUAAAUCAAACGCGAUCAUCGAGGGAAACAGCAGCGGGAAGAGCCCGCACACGGGAGACACCCGGUCGCAUUCUUCCUCCUGACCAUUGUCCCGUUUACAGGGUGCGAACGGUCGGGGGAGGCUGCCGCUCUUCUUUCCCCUCUCAUCCUGGAGUCCAACCUGCCAGGUCGUGAUGUAAGGGCCACUUGGUCCCCAAGGUCCGCCCAGGCUGCUCCAUGUUCCAACUGUCCUGGAGGCUGGACCACCAGUUCCUCCGCCGCGUCCCUGAGGGCGCGUGUGCCUCCACCUGCAGCUGCCCGGGGGCCUGUGAGCGAGACCUCAGCCACCGCCUCCUGGAGCUGGGGGUUUGGGCAAGAGGGAGGCCAGCAGCUCAGCGUUUCGUUUCCCUUGGGAAACUACCUGCUGCCUGAAGGUGCUUGGGGUUUGGUGGGAGCGCGGUCAGUCUCCAUGGCGAUGAGGUUUGUGGGUGUAAGCCAGCGGUGAGGGCCUGGCGCCUGCUGGAUCGGGGGGGCAGGCUCAGAGCUCCCACCCGCUCCCGGGCCUACACGGAGGGGUCUUCCGCCCACAGUGGCUUUUCCUCCACCCCCACCCCCAGCAUCCCGCCC